rnacentral:lncRNA from 1 species
GCCAAGAGGAAAGAAGCCGUUGUGCAGUUAGGUUGUCAGAAAAGUUCUCCUAAAGCAUCUGAUUGAAAAGAUUUGAGAAACAUCGUUCUAUGCUAAUAACCUUUGCUUCUGGAUUCCCUCACAGCUCCCGGAGGAGAACAAUCACGUAAGUUUCCCCUCCUUUCUGUUCCUCCCAAGUUCUGAUCACUCAUCCCAUCAGCCAGCAUGUUGGGGCUAUUUGUCCAACACUUGCAAAUGAGGUCAUCAGGGAGAUGCCAACAUCAGUGCCGUGCUGGGGUCACACCUGUUGUAUGUUGGGCAAACAGCUCCCAACUUCUCAGUUUCUAGCUCAUCCCACAUUACCAGGACACCCCGGUGCAGAGAGGGAGCAAGCAUGAGCAGAAGGAAGGGUAGACGCAGCAAGCAACUGUUCAGAGACUCUCGGGCCUCAUCUCCUCCACCCCCAAAGUCAUUUCCUCUGUGUGUCCAAGUUAGUGUUGCUACCAAAGGAAACAGGAAUCGCUUCUAUUCACAGAGGGUGAUGCCACAGUAAAACCCUUCUAUAUUUCCAAAAGGAGCUCAUGCCUCAGUUUCCGGUCCAUCAGUGAGCCGCAAUCCUAAACACAAGCCUGAUUUCUCAAGCAGCCUGACCUUCUUACUUCAAAUUCUUUAUAUGCCUUUGUUAUUGAUUGUGUCCAACUUAGAUGGAGAGUAGAGUUGCCUUCCCUGUAGAUUCUCCAACUAAGCAAAGUUUAAAAAUAACAAAAUUAAAGAAAGAAUCUUGUUCAUUACAUGUUUAAAGUCAAGCCCAG